UUCUUAUCACGAAAGGUGGAGGGACUGGCCCUUUGAAGCCUUAGCAACCGGAAUUUAUUUUCACGGUGCUAAUUCCAGCAGUAUAUUCUGAAAGAUAAGUC
rnacentral:ncRNA from 12 species